rnacentral:tRNA from 1 species
AGGAACUUAGGUUAGUAUAAGACCAAGGGCCUUCAAAGCCCUAAGCGGGGGUGAAAAUCCCCCAGUUCCUG